AUUUAUUCACCCUUCCAUCCACCCACCCAUCCAUCUGUUCAUCUAUCUACCUAUUAUCUAUCUACCUACCUACCUAUACCUGGCACCAAGUAUCUUGGGAAGAUACUACUACAAGAAGAUGGGAAUGGAAAUCUGAAGGUGCUAAUUCAAGUCUGCCAUGGGAAGAAUCAAACUCAGUGUUAAAAUAUCCCCUGAGACUCCAUGGUCUGAUGGAGUGAAUGUAUUCACGCCAACUGCUGUUACAGCUUCUCAACCUAAUACAUGGGGUUGCAUAUGUGACAUGAUGCUGGCUCUUUUAAAGCUCUCCCCUCCCGAUCUCCUCUCUUUUGAGAUAACACAACAUGAGUAGAAUCAUCAGGAUGGCAACGACGAUUUCAAGCGCUUUCCAUGACAGCAGACGAGUGUGAAACUCUGUUGUUUAAAUUACAUUAACAGGGUAAUUUGGGGUUGUGAAUGACGGGAAAGUCAGGUCCUACGGGUGCACAGAGCGAUGUCAAACAUAUGCCUGCAUAGAAGCACAGAAGAGACGUGCUGGCUGGCUAUGCAAGUGGCCCCAUUCCCAGCACGGCUUCCACGCUGAAUAAUGAAAGAAUUUGUGAGGUCUACAAGCAUACCCUGAGUGCUGUCCUUAACCAUGAAUGCCCUGUUAUUUUUUUUUUUUUAAUUUCUUCUCCUUCUUCUCCUUCUCCUCCUUCUCCUUCUUCUUCUUCUUUAAAUCCCUGAGUUGGUAUUCUCUGUGCAGGAGCUGCUGAUUAUAAAGAGUCUCCCCAUACUCAUGAGGCUCCGCGGAGCUCAGUAGGGGUUUUGCUGCCGGUCAGAACGAAACAUUAGCAGACGUGGAGGGCAACGCUACCAACGCUACUUCAUUGGUGCAUUUUGCACAGCAUCAGGGGCUGUUUGGGAACAAUGGCAUCACCAGCCUGUGUGGCUGUCACUUUAUUGAAGUGCCAAGGGGGAGGAAUCAGCUACAGCGCUGACAUUCACGUCCAACACCGCGCGUGGAGAAAAGCACAGUCGCAGAGCGUCAUCUGCUUGUACGUGGAGAAGAUUGCUGAUGGAGAACCUUUCUUACCAAGAGUGCUUUCCGUGCUCUCCAGCAGCCUGCAGCGUCCACGACUCCCAAAAUGCGGGCUGCUGUUUUGUGUGAAGCAGGCUGAGGAUUUCGGUUGUCACAGAGGUAGACAGAAACAUAUGAUGAUGUCAUCUUGA
rnacentral:lncRNA from 1 species